UACGGAAGGGGCAAGCGUUGUUCGGAAUCAUUGGGCGUAAAGGGCGCGUAGGUGGUUCUGUAUGUCUACCGUGAAAGCGUACGGCUCAACUGUAUUUUGUCGGUAGAAACUGCAGGACUUGAGGCUGGGGGGGGCUGGUGGAAUUCCCUGUGUAGCGGUGAAAUGCGUAGAGAUGGGGGAGAACCCUCGUGGCGAAGGCGGCCAGCUAGACCAGUUCUGACACUGAGGCGCGACAGCGUGGGGAGCAAACAGG
rnacentral:rRNA from 1 species